rnacentral:lncRNA from 1 species
GAGAUGAGAUGUAUAAUUUCUAUUUUAUAAUUUAUAUUUUGUAUUAUAUAAUUUAUAUGAUAUAAUUUAUCCUAUGUUGUAAUUAGUUAGGUGGGAUAGAUAUUGAGAUGAGAUGUAUAAUUUCUAUUUUAUAAUUUAUCUUUUGUAUUAUAUAAUUUAUAUGAUAUAAUUUAUCCUAUGUUGUAAUUAGUUUGUGGGGAUAGAUAUUGAGAUGAGAUGUAUAAUUUCUAUUUUAUAAUUUAUCUUUUGUAUUAUAUAAUUUAUAUGAUAUAAUUUAUCCUAUGUUGUAAUUAGUUUGUGGGGAUAGAUAUUGAGAUGAGAUGUAUAAUUUCUAUUUUAUAAUUUAUCUUUUGUAUUAUAUAAUUUAUAUGAUAUAAUUUAUCCGAUGUUGUAAUUAGUUUGUGGGGAUAGAUAUUGAGAUGAGAUGUAUAAUUUCUAUUUUAUAAUUUAUCUUUUGUAUUAUAUAAUUUAUAUGAUAUAAUUUAUCCUAUGUUGUAAUUAGUUUGUGGGGAUAGAUAUUGAGAUGAGAUGUAUAAUUUCUAUUUUAUAAUUUAUCUUUUGUAUUAUAUAAUUUAUAUGAUAUAAAUUAUCAUGUGUUGUAAUUAGUUAGUAGGGAU